rnacentral:rRNA from 1 species
UCCAGAGGGGGCAAGCGUUAUUCGGAAUUAUUGGGCGUAAAGGGCGCGUAGGCGGCCAUUCAAGUGACGGGUGAAAGCCCUCGGCUUAACCGAGGAACUGCCUGUCAGACUGGAUGGCUUGAGACCGGGAGAGGUGAGUGGAAUUCCCAGUGUAGCGGUGAAAUGCGUAGAUAUCAGGAGGAACACCGGUGGCGAAGGCGGGUCUCUGGGCCGAAAUUGACGCUGAGGAGCGAAAGCGUGGGGAGCAAACAGG